GACGAACGCUGGCGGCGUGCUUAACACAUGCAAGUCGAACGGAAAGGCCCUGCUUUUGUGGGGGGCUCGAGUGGCGAAAGGGUGAGUAACACGUGAGUAACCUGCCCUUGACUUUGGGAUAACUUCAGGAAACUGGGGCUAAUACCGGAUAGGAGCUCCUGCUGCAUGGGGGGGGUUGGAAAGUUUCGGCGGUUGGGGAUGGACUCGCGGCUUAUCAGCUUGUUGGUGGGGUAGUGGCUUACCAAGGCUUUGACGGGUAGCCGGCCUGAGAGGGUGACCGGCCACAUUGGGACUGAGAUACGGCCCAGACUCCUACGGGAGGCAGCAGUGGGGAAUAUUGCACAAUGGGCGGAAGCCUGAUGCAGCAACGCCGCGUGCGGGAUGACGGCCUUCGGGUUGUAAACCGCUUUCGCCUGUGACGAAGCGUGAGUGACGGUAAUGGGUAAAGAAGCACCGGCUAACUACGUG
rnacentral:rRNA from 1 species